CGCGGACGGGUAGCUGUUGAGCCCGGGGCGGUAGCGUG
rfam:Pluralibacter gergoviae strain JS81F13 contig_22, whole genome shotgun sequence.